CAAAUUAAUUCACGUCGUUCCUUAAAAUUUAGAAAAAACUGAAAUAUGGACUCAUGGGGCAAGGAUAGUUAGAGAUAAUACGGCACGGUAAAAGCGUGUUAAUACCAUUGAAAAUUUUAUAAUUAUAAAGUGUUGCGAAAAAAGUGCUUUAAAUAUCGCAAGGAAGAAUUACGCAGUUAAUUACAGGAAUAGAAACAUAGAAGCUGCACUGUAACGGGAGCGUCAAAACCAUGAAAUAUGGACUAUAUGGUACGACUUGGAAUGUGAAUCGAGAAAACAUCUUUCCCAGAAUUGACGGAUUUAAUAACAGCCGUGGAGAAGACAGGUGUCGGUGCUAUGGAAAUUGUCGCUACGGAUAUAAAAUUGUGAAAAAUUGCUCGUUGACUUAGUUUUCAUGCAGUUGGAUUUGAAAUUAGAUGAUUUCAUCAAAGUUUACAACCAUUUCAUCAAAUUUGUUAUGCAAAGCUGCCAAAAAAAUGCGUUGUCAUUGGUCUUCAAUUAGCGGGUGAAGAACAUAAUACACUGAAACAAUUGGAAUGAGAUCACGGCGAAACGAUUAUUUGAGAAGAAUUUUUUCCUUGAAAUCGCAUAUAACAUUUAAAAAUGCCACAAAGAACAACUGUUAAUCGUUAUGUUGCCUACAGCGAUAAUGACGAUAAAAUGUCAAUUUCCAAUUGUCCUCAAACACAAACUCGAAAGAAGAGAAGAGAUAGUGGUGACAAUGCAAAUCUAAUAUCACAACGUCAAAUAUCUCAAGA